CUAGCAGCUUUUGCUAGAGUACUUGGGAUUCCAGCUGCUUGGUUUUGGAAAGUGAAGAGCCCAGGGGGACCUUGAAACAGGACAAAGAAUGGCAGCACCUGUUAUCCACCAGGACAGCUUACAAAACAAAUGGAACUGCAAUCAAGCUGAGUCCAAAAAGGUCACAGCAAUCUGUACCAGCAGUUAGGAGAGAAGAAGGAGGGAGAAUACAUCAUAUGCACUGCAAGAGGAGACCUAAUGAUCACAUGUAUAAAGAAGAAGUAGAUGGAAUGAAAAUCAUCCUCUUGUCAAACUGAAG